rfam:Ciona savignyi cont_24220, whole genome shotgun sequence.
GACUCCGUGGCGCAACGGUAGCGCGUCCGACUCCUGAUCGAAAGGUUGCGUGUUCAAAUCACGUCGGGGUCA